AUGGCUGAGCGGUAAAGCACUUGCCUUCCGAACCAAGGUCCCGGGUUCGAAUCCUGGU
rfam:Biomphalaria glabrata isolate BB02 linkage group LG19i unlocalized genomic scaffold LG19i_random_Scaffold3, whole genome shotgun sequence.